rnacentral:rRNA from 1 species
UACAGAGGUCUCAAGCGUUGUUCGGAUUCAUUGGGCGUAAAGGGUGUGUAGGUGGCGCCGUAAGUCGGGUGUGAAAUUUCGGAGCUUAACUCCGAAACUGCAUUCGAUACUGCGGUGCUUGAGGACUGGAGAGGAGACUGGAAUUCAUGGUGUAGCAGUGAAAUGCGUAGAGAUCAUGAGGAAGACCAGUGGCGAAGGCGGGUCUCUGGACAGUUCCUGACACUGAGGAGCGAAAGCAUGGGGAGCAAACAGG